UAGGGAAUCUUCCGCAAUGGACGAAAGUCUGACGGAGCAACGCCGCGUGAGUGAAGAAGGAUUUCGGUUCGUAAAACUCUGUUGUUAGGGAUGAAAAAAUGUAUAGUAACUAUAUACAAAAGAGACGGUACCUAACCAGAAAGCCACGGCUAACUACGUGCCAGCAGCCGCGGUAAUACGUAGGUGGCAAGCGUUGUCCGGAAUUAUUGGGCGUAAAGCGCGCGCAGGUGGUUUAGAAAGUCUGAUGUGAAAGCCCACGGCUCAACCGUGGAGGGUCAUUGGAAACUAAUAAACUUGAGUGCAGGAGAGAAAAGUGGAAUUCCUAGUGUAGCGGUGAAAUGCGUAGAGAUUAGGAGGAACACCGGUGGCGAAAGCGGCUUUUUGGCCUGCAACUGACACUGAGGCGCGAAAGCGUGGUGAGCAAACAGG
rnacentral:rRNA from 1 species